UACGUAGGGUGCGAGCGUUGUCCGGAAUUAUUGGGCGUAAAGCGCACGUAGGCGGCGCGCUCAGUCUCUUGGUGAAAUGCCGGGGCUCAACCCCGUGCAUGCCGGGGAUACUGGCGAGCUGGAGACAGGCAGAGGCAAGUGGAAUUCCGGGUGUAGCGGUGGAAUGCGUAGAGAUCCGGAAGAACACCGGUGGCGAAGGCGGCUUGCUGGGCCUGGUCUGACGCUGAGGUGCGAAAGCGUGGGGAGCGAACAGG
rnacentral:rRNA from 1 species